rnacentral:lncRNA from 1 species
AGAAUUAUAUUAGAAAGCAAUCUCUAAAGGAAUUUGUGAAAGACAAGCAAAUCUUAAUUAUUUAUGACAUGAGAAUACUUAUGAGGUUUACAUUAUAUAAGACUAGUUAGUCAAGCUUUAAAUUUUAGUCACUUGAUGUGCAAGCCAGGAGUAGCAACUAAAAUGAAACAGAAGUAAAUGGUUGGAUUCUUAAGGAUUCUAAGCCCAAAAAAGAAAAAAAUAAAGAUAAGAAACAAG